AGCGCGAUCGGGUCCACCGCGCGCGAGACGGUCAGGUAGUCGCGGAUGGCGACGCCGUGCCUGCCCUC
rnacentral:sRNA from 1 species